UACGUAGGUGGCAAGCGUUGUCCGGAUUUAUUGGGCGUAAAGAGCGCGCAGGCGGUCGGAUAAGUCGAAUGUGAAAGCCCCCGGCUCAACUGGGGAGGGUCAUUCGAUACUGUUCGACUCGAAGGCAGGAGAGGGAAGUGGAAUUCCCGGUGUAGUGGUGAAAUGCGUAGAUAUCGGGAGGAACACCAGUGGCGAAGGCGACUACCCGGCCUGUUCUUGACGCUGAGGCGCGAAAGCUAGGGGAGCAAACGGG
rnacentral:rRNA from 1 species